AACAAUAUAAGGAUAUAUCAUGAUUGAAGAGUAUGAAUAAUUAGCUGGCAAUAAUUCAUCAAUAUAAUUGAGAACUAGCAGGAACAAACUUUUGACUGAACAAGUUUUAAACAUGAACAAACAUUUCUGGACAAACCGGUAAUGAAGGUGAUCAGCCUUUCAUACCUGACUUAUACAUGCAAGAUGUACAGAGUACAAUUUUCAUGGCAAUCAGCAAUGAUUUACCAUAAGCUUGAAUAAAACACUCUUAUUAGAGUUAAGU
rnacentral:lncRNA from 1 species